UCUCGAUAGCGUAAAAGUUAACGCAAUUUAUAUGGAGUUUGAAAGUUUGCCAAUGUUUGCCGCUAGGGGCGCUGUUCGAACUCCAUACAAAUUUGAGUUAACUUUUACGAGAUUGA
rnacentral:pre_miRNA from 9 species